rnacentral:rRNA from 1 species
CCUACGGGUGGCAGCAGUGAGGAAUAUUGGUCAAUGGGCGCGAGCCUGAACCAGCCAAGUCGCGUGAGGGAAGACGGUCCUAUGGAUUGUAAACCUCUUUUGUCGGGGAGCAAAAGACGCCACGCGUGGCGUUCCGAGAGUACCCGAAGAAAAAGCAUCGGCUAACUCCGUGCCAGCAGCCGCGGUAAUACGGAGGAUGCGAGCGUUAUCCGGAUUUAUUGGGUUGAAAGGGUGCGCAGGCGGAAGAUCAAGUCAGAGGUGAAAUUGAGAGGCUCAACCCCGUCGAGGCGUUGGAACAUGGUUUUCUAGAGGGUAGUAGAGGGAUGCGGAAUGGGGUGGGUAGCGGUGAACUGAGUAGAUAGAAGGAAGAACACCGAUGGCGAAGGCAGAAUACCGGACGCCAACGGACGGUGAGGCAAGAAAGUGUGGGUAGAAAACAGGAUUAGAUAC